rnacentral:rRNA from 1 species
GGGCCCGCACAAGCGGUGGAGCAUGUUGUUUAAUUCGAUGCAACGCGAAGAACCUUACCACCCCUUGACAUCCUCGGAACUUGUCAGAGAUGACUUGGUGCCUUCGGGAACCGAGAGACAGGUGCUGCAUGGCUGUCGUCAGCUCGUGUCGUGAGAUGUUGGGUUAAGUCCCGUAACGAGCGCAACCCUUGUCCCUAUUUGCCAGCGGGUCAUGCCGGGAACUCUAGGGAGACUGCCGGUGACAAACCGGAGGAAGGUGGGGAUGACGUCAAGUCAUCAUGGCCCUCACGGGGUGGGCUACAAACGUGCUACAAUGGCGCGUACAAAGGGCUGCUAUCCCGCGAGGGGGAGCAAAUCCCAAAAAACGCGUCGUAGUCCGGAUUGGGGUCUGCAACUCGACCCCAUGAAGUCGGAAUCGCUAGUAAUCGCGGAUCAGAAUGCCGCGGUGAAUACGUUCCCGGGCCUU